AUUUUAUUAUUAUAGGUAGUAUUCACAAAAACCUAUAUAGUUUGGCGGCAUUUUAUCUACUUAGAGGAACUUGUUUUUUAAUCGAUACUCCCCGCUAAUUUUCACUUUCUUCUUAAGCCGAUAUACCGCCAUUUUAAGAAUUAAUUCAAAAAUAUAAUUCCAAAUAUAAAUCUAAAAAAUUAGGUCAAGGUGUGGCCAAUAAUUAAGUUAAAAUGAGUUAUUUUAAAUUUUAUUUAAGGAUUAAAAUUUCAUAAAAUUUUAUAAAAAGAGAUUUAAUAGUAAAUUAAAAAUAAUAUUUCUAAUUGACUUAGAAAAUAAAUGUGU
rnacentral:rRNA from 1 species